CCAGUUAUUCAGUUUCCUUGGCUGCCUGACCCAGAAAUUGCCUCGGAUGGUCAGCACUUCAAGCCCUUUGAUGAAGUACUUGGCUUUCCUACGACUGAAAAAGACCGUCCAUCUUCUCAAAGGCAAACCCUGACUGCUAUUGCGGAAGAUCAACAGGGCUGCAAGAAUUCAGUACUUGUUGGUCAGAAUGUCCGGCAGACGGUUCACUGCCAUGAAUGUGGGAAACCACGCUGUGUCUACUCAAAAUCCUCUUUCACAAAUCGUGAUACCAAGUCCUUCAAGCGACUGAUCGAGUCUCAUGACUACACUUGUGGGUCCAUCUUGACCCUUGAUGUUGCAUUUUAGGUCACAUACUUCAAGGCAAGGCAUUUGUCAGACUUCAGAUGUGCUGUACCACUCCAAUCGAGUUUGCAUAUUUUGCAUCAUCGUCCAUCGUCCGCAAGGAUAUAUGUUGUCAUUGUGGGAGUUUCGGGGCAGAACGAGACAAGGAUCUCAUGCAGAACUAUUGCGUUGUAUUACCUGUUUGCAUUAAUUGCAAGCACCUUGGAUCUCCAAAGAGGAAUCCUAUUCGGAAAUGAAUAUGUUAACUAGUGUGUUAAUCUUAACUAUAAAACAGUACACUUUAAGCUGGUUGCUUUGUUAUAUUAUCUGUAGAACAAAAGGCUACAUUUUACUUUAAACCAAUAGUGGUGCAAAUACCGGUAAGUUAAAUUCAAAUGAUUUAUUUUGUUGAAUAUGUAUGGAAUCCCCACCCCACCCCACACAACUCAAAAAAAAAAAGAAAGAAUUUUCCUACCGACCUACCCACAUUUGAAAUUGCAGGUCGGAAAUGGACAAACAAAAAUAUUUUUAAGGAUGGCCUUGGUGGACAUGAGCUCCAACUGCCUGGUGUUAGAUCCACAUGUAAUUGUGGAGCUAAUUUUAAUUAGAUUGCAUUGUAUAGCUAUAUAUCUGAAACUUGCAGAGUGGAUCGUGAUGCUAUACAAAUGUUCCCUGUAUAAAUAUGCUAAUCUCAUCUACUUUACAGUUUAGUAUCUUUUACAAAUAAUUAACUCUUUACCAUUUUUAACAGUAAUAUUCAUUGAUGAAAAAGUAUAAUUAUACUUAGAAUUUAAUGUUACUUGGUUACCAAAAAAUUGAAGUUUGUGUCACAAUGUGAGAAGUUAUGGUACCUGAAACAUUUUCUUUAAAAAAUGUAUUUACAAAUAUAACAGACUUAAAAAGUACAAAUUCUCUGUAUUAUACUUAAUAAUUUAUUUCCAUUGCAUUAAUACUAUUCUUUUGUAUAAAACUGAUCCAGUCAUAUGCUAAACUCAUUCAAAUGAUUUACAUGAAAAUAGAUUUACAUGUCUAUAUUUGAAUAGUUAUGCUUUAUCAAAAUGUUUUUUAACAUCAACUUCAGCUAUCAGAAACUGCUGAGUCAUCAUGAUAAGCAAAACAUUAUUUUAAGUUAUUUUCAAUUCAAUAUGCAUUGUCUUCUAAAAAUAACGCUUCAGUAUGAUAUAUAUUCUACCCAAAAAGUUAAUAAUGGGUGGAUAAAUAUUGACAAAGCAUCAAAUACGUUUAAUUUUAUCAAAAUGUGUCCCUGCUGUGAAGUUCUGUAUUUUCGCUUUUGUGGGUCAGUUACCUCCCUUGAAAUAUUUUCGAUGUCAAAUUAAACAAAGUUGUUGGGGUUUUAAAAUUACAAAAAAUAUAUAUUUAUGCUGUUUUAUUAUAUUACUAUAGAUAUUUAUCAAUAUCUCAGUGAAAUCGCCCUUUUUGGGGCAAAAUAAAAAGUAUUCAAAGUUUCACUUGCCUAAAAAAAAAGUCUUUUUGCAGUCGUUCAAUUUCGGAAACAGGAUAUACAUCAAUCGGAAGAUGUGUACUUGUCAUAACCACCAAAGAAACGUGUGACGGGACAUGCUCUUAAUUUUGUUUUCGCCUGUGGCGAUAUUAAUUGUUUUAGAAGGCCGUGUGCAGUUCCAAAUUGCACUUUGCCAGGUGGGCAACUUGUUACGUAAUA
rnacentral:lncRNA from 1 species